GGUUAAGUGACUAAGCGUACACGGUGGAUGCCCUGGCAGUCAGAGGCGAUGAAGGGCGUGCUAAUCUGCGAUAAGCGCCGGUAAGGUGAUAUGAACCGUUAUAACCGGCGAUACCCGAAUGGGGAAACCCAGUGUGACUCGUCACACUAUCAUUAACUGAAUCCAUAGGUUAAUGAGGCGAACCGGGGGAACUGAAACAUCUAAGUACCCCGAGGAAAAGAAAUCAACCGAGAUUCCCCCAGUAGCGGCGAGCGAACGGGGAGGAGCCCAGAGCCUGAAUCAGCAUGUGUGUUAGUGGAAGCGUCUGGAAAGGCGCGCGAUACAGGGUGACAGCCCCGUACACAAAAGCGCAUAUGCUGUGAGCUCGAUGAGUAGGGCGGGACACGUGGUAUCCUGUCUGAAUAUGGGGGGACCAUCCUCCAAGGCUAAAUACUCCUGACUGACCGAUAGUGAACCAGUACCGUGAGGGAAAGGCGAAAAGAACCCCGGCGAGGGGAGUGAAAAAGAACCUGAAACCGUGUACGUACAAGCAGUGGGAGCCCCACCACUAAGCCAGUGGUGAACUCCACAUACGCAUCCUUUGCUGAGGAUACGGUUAACGGAGCGCAAGCGACGUUCAACCGCAAAAGAAGCAGAGGGGGCUUAGUGGUGG
rnacentral:rRNA from 1 species